GAUGAACGCUGGCGGCGUGCCUAAUACAUGCGAGUCGAGCGAACAGACGAGGAGCUUGCUCCUCUGACGUUAGCGGCGGACGGGUGAGUAACACGUGGAUAACCUACCUAUAAGACUGGGAUAACUUCGGGAAACCGGAGCUAAUACCGGAUAAUAUAUUGAACCGCAUGGUUCAAUAGUGAAAGACGGUUUUGCUGUCACUUAUAGAUGGAUCCGCGCCGCAUUAGCUAGUUGGUAAGGUAACGGCUUACCAAGGCAACGAUGCGUAGCCGACCUGAGAGGGUGAUCGGCCACACUGGAACUGAGACACGGUCCAGACUCCUACGGGAGGCAGCAGUAGGGAAUCUUCCGCAAUGGGCGAAAGCCUGACGGAGCAAUGCCGCGUGAGUGAUGAAGGUCUUCGGAUCGUAAAACUCUGUUAUUAGGGAAGAACAAAUGUGUAAGUAACUAUGCACGUCUUGACGGUACCUAAUCAGAAAGCCACGGCUAACUACGUG
rnacentral:rRNA from 1 species